rnacentral:rRNA from 1 species
AGGACGAACGCUGGCGGCGUGCUUAACACAUGCAAGUCGAGCGGUAAGGCCCUUUCGGGGGUACACGAGCGGCGAACGGGUGAGUAACACGUGAGCAAUCUGCCCUUCACUUCGGGAUAAGCCUCGGAAACGGGGUCUAAUACCGGAUAUGACCGCGCUACGCAUGUGGUGUGGUGGAAAGUUCUGGCGGUGGAGGAUGAGCUCGCGGCCUAUCAGCUUGUUGGUGGGGUAAUGGCCUACCAAGGCUUCGACGGGUAGCCGGCCUGAGAGGGUGACCGGCCACACUGGGACUGAGACACGGCCCAGACUCCUACGGGAGGCAGCAGUGGGGAAUAUUGGACAAUGGGCGAAAGCCUGAUCCAGCAACGCCGCGUGAGGGAUGACGGCCUUCGGGUUGUAAACCUCUUUCAGCGCCGACGAAGCGAGAGUGACGGUAGCGCAGAAGAAGCACCGGCCAACUACGUGCCAGCAGCCGC